rnacentral:tRNA from 1 species
GGGCGGAUGGUUUAGUGGUAUAAUUUUCCCUUAGCAUCGUCGGUUCCGAUUUUCACGAUUGGUUCUGCAGCCUGGGAAAGGUCCGGGGUUCGAUUCCCCGUUCGUCCA